GCCAGGCGUGGUGGCGCAUGCCUGUACUCCCAGCUACCUGGGAGGCUGAGGCAGGAGAAUGGCUUGAACCCGGGAGAUGGAGGUUGCAGUGAGCUGAGAUCGUGCCAUUGCACUCCAGCCUGGGUGACAGAGCGAGACUCUGUCUCAA
rnacentral:sRNA from 1 species